rnacentral:rRNA from 1 species
GCUAGUAAUGGCAGGUCAGCAUACUGCCGUGAAUACGUUCCCGGGCCUUGUACACACCGCCCGUCACACCAUGAGAGUUGGGGAUACCCAAAGCCCGUGAGCCAACAUUAAAUGAGGCAGCGGUCUAAGGUAGAAUCAAUGAUUGGGGUGAAGUCGUAACAAGGUAUC